AGUGAACGCUGGCGGCGUGCCUAAUACAUGCAAGUCGAACGCGAAAGUCCUUCGGGAUGAGUAAAGUGGCGCACGGGUGAGUAAUGCAUAAGAACAUGCCCUUAGAUGGGGAAUAACGUUUGGAAACGAACGCUAAUACCGCAUAAUCUCGAGAGAGUAAAGGUGGCGCCGCAAGGGCUACCGUCUAAGGAUUGGCUUAUGUCCCAUUAGCUAGUUGGCGGGGUAAUGGCCCACCAAGGCAACGAUGGGUAUGUGGUCUGAGAGGAUGAUCACACACACUGGAACUGAGACACGGUCCAGACUCCUACGGGAGGCAGCAGUAGGGAAUAUUGCACAAUGGGGGAAACCCUGAUGCAGCAACGCCGCGAGAGUGAAGAAGGCCCUUGGGUUGUAAAGCUCUUUAGCGAGGGAAGAGGGUAGAUACGGUGAAUAAUCGUGUUUGCUGACGGUACCUCGAGAAUAAGCACCGGCUAAUUUCGUGCCAGCCGCCGCGGUAA
rnacentral:rRNA from 1 species